GAUGAACGCUAGCUACAGGCUUAACACAUGCAAGUCGAGGGGCAGCAUGGUCUUAGCUUGCUAAGGCCGAUGGCGACCGGCGCACGGGUGAGUAACACGUAUCCAACCUGCCGUCUACUCUUGGACAGCCUUCUGAAAGGAGGAUUAAUACAAGAUGGCAUCAUGAGUCCGCAUGUUCACAUGAUUAAAGGUAUUCCGGUAGACGAUGGGGAUGCGUUCCAUUAGAUAGUAGGCGGGGUAACGGCCCACCUAGUCUUCGAUGGAUAGGGGUUCUGAGAGGAAGGUCCCCCACAUUGGAACUGAGACACGGUCCAAACUCCUACGGGAGGCAGCAGUGAGGAAUAUUGGUCAAUGGGCGAGAGCCUGAACCAGCCAAGUAGCGUGAAGGACGACUGCCCUAUGGGUUGUAAACUUCUUUUAUAAAGGAAUAAAGUCGGGUAUGGAUACCCGUUUGCAUGUACUUUAUGAAUAAGGAUCGGCUAACUCCGUG
rnacentral:rRNA from 1 species